rnacentral:rRNA from 1 species
AUACGUAGGGGGCGAGCGUUGUCCGGAAUGAUUGGGCGUAAAGGGCGCGUAGGCGGCCUGUUAAGUCUGGAGUGAAAGUCCUGUUUUCAAGAUGGGAAUUGCUUUGGAUACUGAUGGGCUUGAGUGCAGGAGAGGUUAUCGGAAUUCCCGGUGUAGCGGUGAAAUGCGUAGAGAUCGGGAGGAACACCAGUGGCGAAGGCGGGUAACUGGACUGCAAAUGACGCUGAGGCGCGAAAGUGUGGGGAGCAAACAGGAUUAGAUACCCUGGUAGUCCACGCUGUAAACGAUGAAUGCUAGGUGUAAGAGGUAUCGACCCCUUUUGUGCCGGAGUUAACACAAUAAGCAUUCCGCCUGGGGAGUACGGCCGCAAGGUUGAAACUCAAAUGAAUUGGCGGGG